AAUAACUCGCUCUGCUUCCUCUCAUCCACCCAAAUCUCAUCCCCUCGACCUCUCACGAACCCUAGGCCUCCACCCCACGCCGCCGCCGCCUCCACCCCGUUGGCCUCCUCGACUCCACGCCGCCGCCGCCUCUCCUACUCCGCCACCUCCCACCACCUAUCCUUCUCGGCUCCUCCCCAACCUAUGGCGCGCCGCAGCCUCAUCCUCCUCCGCCAUGGUUAGAGCCCCACGGGGGGACGCUUACCAGAGGUAGCGAGGACGUCGGCGUCGUCUACAGGAACCAUCAAGUUCUCCAUCCUCAAGAUGAAGGUUGCUGGUCUGAAUAGGCAGAUGGAUGGUGGUGGUUCGAAGCUGUAGAUGAAGGGUGCUGGUCUGAAUAGGCAGAUGGAGGGUGGUGGUUCGAAGAUGCAGAUGAAAGGUGAUGGUCCGAAUAUGCAGAUGGAGGGUGCUUCAAAGGUACAAAGGAAGGCACCGCCGGAGAAACAACAAGGACAUGGGACUGCAGAUUCGCACCCACAACUACUACCGUAUGAACAGGUCCGCCUACAACAAUGCAUGCAAAACAAUGCAAGGCUAGCGCAACUUGGAAUUCCUCCUCUGGUCAACAUAUUUGGAAGCAAAGAUGCCAAUGGUCAGAAAGAGAAAAAGCCUAAUCACAGAGAAAGAGAAGAAUCUGGGUCAGAGUAUGAUCCAGAUCAAGAUGAUACUUGUGAGUCUGAUAAUGCUCAGGAGAUGAGUCGCAGACAAGAAACUGACAUGCCUACAAGUGCUCUAAGGUUUAAAGGUCGUCGUAAAAGAGUCUUUGCAGUAGAGUCUACUACAGUGACAAGGUCAAAAAGAGCCAAUGCGCAGCGGCAUCCUUCACUGACAAGAAGUGAAAUUGAUGCCCCACCCCCAUCCCAUCCUAAUAUGAGCAAAUCUACAGAAGAUGUUGUCCCCAUCCAACCUUCUAUUCCUCCGCCCGAUGGACUUCCAAAUGGCCAAUGAAGAUGGUUUGGACUAGCAUGAUGAAAACCCACUCAUGGGUCACGACGAUGGAGCUGAUGGCAUUACACAUCCUGUUGAACAGAACCAGACAAAUGAAGGAGUGGAGCGCUGGGAAUGGGAGCGGGGACCGAGCAUGGGACAUGGUCUGCAAAAAAUUACGCGAGCUCGGCGUGGGAAGCUGCCACUUGUCAUCAAUGAAGGAAGAACAAGACCUGCUGUACCUUUUAUUGCUGCCAAGUUUGCAACUGAAUGCAACAUUACAGUAAGGAACCACAUACCCGUGCUCAAGCAUUGGAAAGAGUACAAGAAACGUCCUGCUUUGGUGACUCAGUUUGUGGGGUGGAUCCAAGCAAAGUUUGAAGCCGACAAGUGAUCCAGCAGUUGAAAAAGGUUGUCUUGAGAUGAUGAAGUCGGCUGUUCGCCAACAACGACACAGACUGAAGAAGAAAUACUUUGAUCCUUUUCCAUUGCAUUCGGUUAGGAACAUAGUCACAAAGUUCCUGGGUCGAGGGUCGAGACUUUGUAAAAUUGUGGUACGAGGGGGGUAUACCCCUUUGGAACGAGAACCCGAAUUUUGGUACGUGAAUCCGUGGCUAAUGGGUUGAUGACCCUGGGACGGUCCUAAGAGUCGAGGGUCGUGACCCUAAUUAAUUUGGAUCGAUGACCCCGGAACGAUAGAUACAGUGUAGGGUCAUGAUCCAAUGUAUUUUGGAUCGAUAGGAAUUCAAUUAUAUAAUAUAAAAGAUAAAUCACACA